GGGGUUGUAGCUCAAAUGGUAGAGCGCCCGCUUAGCAUGCGCAGCUGAGCGCCGCAGAGUGUGCGGGAGGUAGGGGGAUCGAUGCCCUCCAACUCCA